rnacentral:rRNA from 1 species
UACGUAGGGGGCGAGCGUUGUCCGGAAUUAUUGGGCGUAAAGAGCGUGUAGGCUGUUCGGUAAGUCUGCCGUGAAAACCUGAGGCUCAACCUCGGGCGUGCGGUGGAUACUGUCGGGCUAGAGUGCGGAAGAGGCGAGUGGAAUUCCUGGUGUAGCGGUGAAAUGCGCAGAUAUCAGGAGGAACACCGAUGGCGAAGGCAGCUCGCUGGGACGUGACUGACGCUGAGACGCGAAAGCGUGGGGAGCAAACAGG